rnacentral:rRNA from 1 species
AUUGAACGCUGGCGGCAGGCCUAACACAUGCAAGUCGAACGGUAACAGGAAUCAGCUUGCUGAUUCGCUGACGAGUGGCGGACGGGUGAGUAAUGUCUGGGAAACUGCCUGAUGGAGGGGGAUAACUACUGGAAACGGUAGCUAAUACCGCAUAACGUCGCAAGACCAAAGAGGGGGACCUUCGGGCCUCGUGCCAUCGGAUGUUCCCAGAUGGGAUUAGCUAGUAGGUGGGGUAACGGCUCACCUAGGCGACGAUCCCUAGCUGGUCUGAGAGGAUGCGCAGCCACACUGGAACGGGGACACGGUCCAGACUCCUACGGGAGGCAGCAGUGGGGAAUAUUGCACAAUGGGCGCAAGCCUGAUGCAGCCAUGCCGCGUGUAUGAAGAAGGCCUUCGGGUUGUAAAGUACUUUCAGCGGGGAGGAAAUCGCACGGGCUAAUACCCUGUGUGGAUGACGGUACCGGAAUAAGAAGCACCGGCUAACUACGUGCCAGCCGCCGCGGUAA